rnacentral:rRNA from 1 species
GACGAACGCUGGCGGCGUGCUUAACACAUGCAAGUCGAGCGAUGAAGCACCUUCGGGUGUGGAUUAGCGGCGAACGGGUGAGGAACACGUGAGGAAUCUGCCUUUCACUUCGGGAUAACUCCGGGAAACCGGGGCUAAUACCGGAUAUUUUCAACUGGCGGCAUCGCCGGUUGAAGAAAGUUUUUCGGUGAAAGAUGACCUCGCGGCCUAUCAGCUUGUUGGUGAGGUAAUGGCUCACCAAGGCGACGACGGGUAGCCGGCCUGAGAGGGCGACCGGCCACACUGGGACUGAGACACGGCCCAGACUCCUACGGGGGGCAGCAGUGGGGAAUAUUGGGCAAUGGAGGAAACUCUGACCCAGCGACGCCGCGUGAGGGAUAAAGGCCUUCGGGUUGUAAAUCUCUUUCAGUAGGGACGAAGCGAAAGUGACGGUACCCAAAGAAGAAGCACCGGCUAACUACGUGCCAGCAGCCGCCGUAA